ensembl:lncRNA
UGGGUUUAAUUAUUUAUUUACGAAAUACCUAACUAAUCACACAGAAUUACACAUACACAUAAUUCAAUCAUAACUUGAUUACAAAUUACGUCAUAAAGGAAAACGUCCCUAGCGGGCAGAACAGAAAUGACAGCUUGUUACACAAAGGAAAAGGGCUGGGUUUGAGUGAAAGAGCGGGAAGACUGAGGAACAAAGGGAAGAAGCUGUGCUAUCGUAAAUACAGUAUCUCAUGCAUUCUAAAUUACCGCUCAUUUGGAAAAGGAAAUGCAAUAAAUAUUUACUCUGAGCUGCGCUUCGGUAGGUUGGUGGUAGAUGGAAGGCCGUGUUGCCCAACCAAGUCCUUUGAAGAAUGUCUCUGGUGGUCAAUUGGAUACGUUGUAGUAACGUCGUUGUGUGGUAGACGGGAUACUCUGUCUGUUCCUUCCUAACCUGCUAACUCAACGGCUAGGAGGUAUCACUUCUGUAGUGAAUAAGAGUUCAAAGUUCAUACCAUUCGCAACAAAAGCUCACGCUGAUGUCGGCUUCGUUCUGUUGUUAUUAUCUGAACCAUUCUGACAUAGGACCAUCGUCCUACAUCCCCGGAACAGAAAGUUCUAUUGUCGUCAAGGGAUUAUAUAGGAAGGGAGAGGAGGGUGUGUUUGAAAAGUUUUAUAGCCCAUGUCCCUUCACAGGGCGGGCCACUGAGUGAGCAGCCCUAUCUUGUGAAAAUCCAAAUCUCUAAUUUUAGAAGCUAAAAUCAAAUUUCAUCCCAUCACAAAUAAUUUAAUAUUCAAACAUUUAAAUUGAACAACAAUUCCAUGUGAAUCCGAUAACUCUGAUGUGUAGACUUUCCCCAUAGAGUUUAUGUCAUCUUAUCAUUGAUGAGAAUGUCUCAGAUGACAACCGAACUGACAUCAUAUUCAUUAAAUACCACCGCAUAUGUUCAAUUGUUCGGAUUACCAGAAUAUAGUUAAUUUCCCCCCACCUUCUGAUGUUUCCAGAAUCUCUAUGUUAACCAAGGGUUUUGCAAAUGUAACCUCACUAGGGUAGAGAGAGGAAAAAGGGGGGAAGAGGUAUUUACAGUGCCUUGCGAAAGUAUUCGGCCCCCUUGAACUUUGCGACCUUUUGCAAUUUCAGGCUUCAAACAUAAAGAUAUUGUGAAGAAUCAACAACAAGUGGGACACAAUCAUGAAGUGGAACGACAU